rnacentral:rRNA from 1 species
CCUACGGGCGGCAGCAGUGGGGAAUAUUGGGCAAUGGGCGCAAGCCUGACCCAGCAACGCCGCGUGAAGGAAGAAGGCUUUCGGGUUGUAAACUUCUUUUAAGAGGGAAGCGCAGAAGGCGGUACCUCUUGAAUAAGCCACGGCUAACUACGUGCCAGCAGCCGCGGUAAUACGUAGGUGGCAAGCGUUGUCCGGAUUUACUGGGUGUAAAGGGCGUGUAGGCGGGCUGACAAGUCAGUUGUGAAAUCCGGGGGCCCAAACCCCGACCUGCAGUUGAAACUGUUGGUCUUGAGUAUCGGAGAGGUAGGCGGAAUGCGUGGUGUAGCGGUGAAAUGCGUAGAUAUUAGGAGGAACACCAGUGGCGAAGGCGGCCUGCUGGACGACAACUGACGGUGAGGCGCGAAAGCGUGGGGAUCGAACAGGAUUAGAUACCCUUGUAGUC